GAUGAAGAACGUAGCGAAAUGCGAUACUUGGUGUGAAUUGCAGAAUCCCGUGAACCAUCGAGUCUUUGAACGCAAGUUGCGCCCGAAGCCAUUAGGCCGAGGGCACGCCUGCCUGGGCGUCACACGUCGUUGCCCCCCCAUCUACUCCUUCGGGAUUGCGGGGGGCGGAUGAUGGCCUCCCGUGCGCCUCGUCGCGCGGUUGGCAUAAAUGCCAAGUCCUCGGCGACGCACGCCACGACAAUCGGUGGUUGCGAAACCUCGGUUGCCCGUCGUGUGCGGUCGUCGCGCAUCGAGGGCUCGAAAAAAUUGUCGUGCUCCGGCUCGGCUUUCAACGCGACCCCAGGUCAGGCGGGGUUACCCGCUGAAUUUAAGCAUAUCAAUAAGCGGAGGA
rnacentral:misc_RNA from 1 species